UACGAAGGGUGCAAGCGUUACUCGGAAUUACUGGGCGUAAAGCGUGCGUAGGUGGUUUGUUAAGUCUGUUGUGAAAGCCCCGGGCUCAACCUGGGAAUGGCAAUGGAUACUGGCAGGCUAGAGUGCGGUAGAGGGUAGUGGAAUUCCCGGUGUAGCGGUGAAAUGCGUAGAUAUCUGGAGGAACACCGGUGGCGAAGGCGGCGUUCUGGACUGCAACUGACACUGAGGAACGAAAGCCAGGGGAGCAAACGGG
rnacentral:rRNA from 1 species